UUCUUCAAGGAACGGCUGGAGGCUUGGAACCGGAUGGGUUUCCUUCGAUUUUUUUCUCCUCUUCGUCUUCUUCGGCUGCAGCUGGAAGAGAACCGGCUUGGGAAGAAGAACCGGCUUGGGAGGAAGAUGACUCGUCGGCUGGGAGGAAGAUGACUCGUCGGCUGGGAGGAUGACUCGUCGGCUGGGAGGAAGAUGACUCGUCGGCUGGGAGGAAGAUGACUCGUCGGCUGGGAAAGAUGACUCGUCGGCUGGGAGGAAGAUGACUCGUCGGCUGGGGAAGAUGACUCGUCGGCUGGGAGGAACCACCUUGCAAUCUAAUUUGGGAGGAACCGCCUUGCUUCUUUGAGUUGGGAAGACGUGGCCGGCUGGGAGUUCAGGGAAACCGGGAUGUGAUGUGGGUCUUCCCAUCGGCAGGCUUGGUGUCACCUGAUGGAGUCUUAACUACCAUGGAAUCUCAUUGGAUGAGGUGAACCGGGUGGUAGUUCUUUGGCUGGUUUAUUUUGUAUGUGGACUUUAUUAUGACAUGGACUCAAUACUACUUAGGCUGGAACGACAUUGACUUGACUCAACAUUACUUGAACUGGACUUGAAUUGGAUUGGACCUGACACGAACUUGACUUAAAUAAAUAACUAGAGAAAUAAAAAUAAAAACUGGACGACACAAGAAAUGUGGACUAGCAGUCAAGCCAAAGUGAUACUGGCUCAU
rnacentral:lncRNA from 1 species